rnacentral:rRNA from 1 species
AAGGGUUGAUCCUGGCUCAGAUUGAACGCUGGCGGCAGGCCUAACACAUGCAAGUCGAGCGGAUGAAGGGAGCUUGCUCCUGGAUUCAGCGGCGGACGGGUGAGUAAUGCCUAGGAAUCUGCCUGGUAGUGGGGGAUAACGUCCGGAAACGGGCGCUAAUACCGCAUACGUCCUGAGGGAGAAAGUGGGGGAUCUUCGGACCUCACGCUAUCAGAUGAGCCUAGGUCGGAUUAGCUAGUUGGUGGGGUAAAGGCCUACCAAGGCGACGAUCCGUAACUGGUCUGAGAGGAUGAUCAGUCACACUGGAACUGAGACACGGUCCAGACUCCUACGGGAGGCAGCAGUGGGGAAUAUUGGACAAUGGGCGAAAGCCUGAUCCAGCCAUGCCGCGUGUGUGAAGAAGGUCUUCGGAUUGUAAAGCACUUUAAGUUGGGAGGAAGGGCAGUAAGUUAAUACCUUGCUGUUUUGACGUUACCAACAGAAUAAGCACCGGCUAACUUCGUGCCAGCAGCCGCGGUAAUACGAAGGGUGCAAGCGUUAAUCGGAAUUACUGGGCGUAAAGCGCGCGUAGGUGGUUCAGCAAGUUGGAUGUGAAAUCCCCGGGCUCAACCUGGGAACUGCAUCCAAAACUACUGAGCUAGAGUACGGUAGAGGGUGGUGGAAUUUCCUGUGUAGCGGUGAAAUGCGUAGAUAUAGGAAGGAACACCAGUGGCGAAGGCGACCACCUGGACUGAUACUGACACUGAGGUGCGAAAGCGUGGGGAGCAAACAGGAUUAGAUACCCUGGUAGUCCACGCCGUAAACGAUGUCGACUAGCCGUUGGGAUCCUUGAGAUCUUAGUGGCGCAGCUAACGCGAUAAGUCGACCGCCUGGGGAGUACGGCCGCAAGGUUAAAACUCAAAGGAAUUGACGGC